AACCUAGCACACCUGCGGUGUGUACCUGCGGAGGGAUCAUUACACAAUACAAUAUGAAGGCUGUCCGCAGCUGGAGUAUUUUAUUACCCUUGUCUUUUGCGCACUUGUUGUUUCCUGGGCGGGUUCGCUCGCCACCAGGACCACCAAAUAAACCUUUUUUAUGCAGUUGCAAUCAGCGUCAGUACAAACAAUGUAAAUCAUUUACAACUUUCAACAAUGGAUCUCAGAUCGGAAGAGCAC
rnacentral:misc_RNA from 1 species